UACGUAGGGUGCGAGCGUUGUCCGGAAUUAUUGGGCGUAAAGAGCUCGUAGGCGGCCUGUUGCGUCUGCUAUGAAAGCCCGGGGCUUAACCCCGGGUCUGCAGUGGAUACGGGCAGGCUAGAGUUCGGCAGGGGAGACUGGAAUUCCUGGUGUAGCGGUGAAAUGCGCAGAUAUCAGGAGGAACACCGGUGGCGAAGGCGGGUCUCUGGGCCGAUACUGACGCUGAGGAGCGAAAGCGUGGGGAGCGAACAGG
rnacentral:rRNA from 1 species